rnacentral:rRNA from 1 species
UACGUAGGGUGCAAGCGUUGUCCGGAAUUAUUGGGCGUAAAGAGCUCGUAGGCGGUUUGUUGCGUCGGCUGUGAAAUCCCGAGGCUCAACCUCGGGCCUGCAGUCGAUACGAGCAAACUAGAGUGUUGCAGGGGAGACUGGAAUUCCUGGUGUAGCGGUGAAAUGCGCAGAUAUCUGGAGGAACACCGGUGGCGAAGGCGGCAUCCUGGACCGGUAUUGACGCUGAGGCGCGAAAGCCAGGGGAGCAAACGGG